rnacentral:lncRNA from 1 species
CUUGCUUCAUGGCUGAGCAAUGAGACCCCAAAUGUUACAGCUCUGCCUAAUGUCCUUGGCUCUGUCCUGCUUUGGAAGGAAACAUGCAGCGGCCUGUGCUGCCAAUGCUAUUUCCUCUCUCGCUUGUCUUUAAAGGUCUCUUUUUCCAACAGCUGAUCGGCCCCGCAGCUCCGGGGAGGACGUGAGAUCCGGCUGGCCCAUGAGCUGGCUGGUAUGGCUGUGUGCCAUGUUGUUAUUUGUAUUGCUUUCAUUUUUCUGGCGUUACUUGGCUCUUCCACGCAACUUGUUUUCAUCCUGAACUAUGUGCUCAUUACAUAUCCAAACGCCCACGCGAGGUUUUGCAUGAGGAAACUCAAAACACACGCACAGUAGAGGAGCGAGUUUCUGAUGGGGGGGAUGAGAUACUUGUCUUGAGGCUGACACAAACAGUUGUCAAAUCCCUGAGUUUCCUGCAGUUGGGGUUCCAGCUCGCUGAUGACAAGCAUGUGAACACUGUGUGCAUCCUCCUGGCAAAGAGACGGGGGGAACAUCUCUUGUGGUCACCUUGGCCUUUCCCAGCAACUCCUGCUACUGUCCAAGGCACAUAUCCAGGGACCUCCGAGCUCUCUGGCAGGCUUGUCCCUGAACGCCAAAGGGACCUUCUGCUGCUAGGAAAGCUCUCACUUCCCUUCUGCGGCCCCAUCCUCAGAGAGCAGCCAGCCACAGGCAGCACAGAUUCACCCAGCCAGCUCUGGGCUGGGAGGCACCAAAACGUGCUGGAGGGUUCCAGUGAGGUCCCAAGUAAGGGGGGCAGAAGCAGGAAAACUCUGCACGGGGUUUGCUUCAUAAGGACAAGGAAGCUUGUCAAAGGCCUGGAGCACGAGUCUGAUGAGGAGCAGCUGGGGGAGCUCAGCCUGGAGAAAAGGAGGCUCAGGGGGGAACUCUUCACUCUCUACAGCUCCCUGACAGGAGGGUACAGCCAGGUGAGGGUCAGUGUCUGCUCCCAGAAACAGGAUGAGAGGAAAUGGCCUCAAGUUGUCCUGGGGGAGCUUUACAUUGGACAUUAUGGAAAAUUUCUUCACUGGAAGUUUUGUCAAGUACUGAAAUAGGCUGCUCUGGGUAGUGGUAGAAUCACCAUCCCUGUAAGUGUUCAAAAAUCCUCCAGAUGUGGCACUUGG